GAUGAACGCUAGCUACAGGCUUAACACAUGCAAGUCGAGGGGCAGCAUGAACAUAGCUUGCUAUGUUUGAUGGCGACCGGCGCACGGGUGCGUAACACGUAUCCAAUCUACCCAUGGCUCGGGGAUAGCCUUUCGAAAGAAAGAUUAAUACCCGAUGGCGUGGUCACUCCGCAUGGAGUUUCCACUAAAGGUUUUCCGGCCGCGGAUGAGGAUGCGUACGAUUAGCUGGUUGGCGGGGUAACGGCCCACCAAGGCAACGAUCGUUAGGGGUUCUGAGAGGAAGGUCCCCCACACUGGAACUGAGACACGGUCCAGACUCCUACGGGAGGCAGCAGUGAGGAAUAUUGGUCAAUGGGCGGGAGCCUGAACCAGCCAAGUAGCGUGAAGGAUGACUGCCCUACGGGUUGUAAACUUCUUUUGUUUGGGAAUAAAGACGCUACGUGUAGCGUUCUGCAUGUACCUUACGAAUAAGCAUCGGCUAAUUCCGUGCCAGCAGCCGACGG
rnacentral:rRNA from 1 species